rnacentral:rRNA from 1 species
AUUGAACGCUGGCGGCAUGCCUUACACAUGCAAGUCGAACGGCAGCACGGGAGCAAUCCUGGUGGCGAGUGGCGAACGGGUGAGUAAUAUAUCGGAACGUGCCCAGUCGUGGGGGAUAACGUAGCGAAAGCUACGCUAAUACCGCAUACGAUCUAUGGAUGAAAGCGGGGGAUCGCAAGACCUCGCGCGAUUGGAGCGGCCGAUAUCAGAUUAGGUAGUUGGUGGGGUAAAGGCUCACCAAGCCGACGAUCUGUAGCUGGUCUGAGAGGACGACGAGCCACACUGGGACUGAGACACGGCCCAGACUCCUACGGGAGGCAGCAGUGGGGAAUUUUGGACAAUGGGCGCAAGCCUGAUCCAGCAAUGCCGCGUGCAGGAUGAAGGCCUUCGGGUUGUAAACUGCUUUUGUACGGAACGAAACGGCUCCUUCUAAUACAAGGGGCUAAUGACGGUACCGUAAGAAUAAGCACCGGCUAACUACGUGCCAGCCGCCGCAGUAAAAC